AGCAGCCUAUGAAAUACACAAAUAAUUAAACACUAUAUAAUUUACUGCCGCAGUUGAGAACAUCGUUUCGAUUUCAAUACUCCCAAACCUCUAGGGGGAAUAAUUGACCAUAUACCGAUUCGUAUUUCAAUAUACCUACUCAAUAAUAGUCAAUUUACUCAUUUAAUAUUUUAGAUGUUUACACAGUACACAUUCGUUUACAGAACAAGCUAUUCCUCUAAAUCACCAUUUAUUUAUAACAACAUAAUAUUUUAUGAAUAUUGCCCUUAAGUCUACGAUGCUGGUUUAAGGCUACUUAACGUUCUGUAAUAUAUAUAUGACUAAAAAGUAAGAGUAAUCGACUGGUGAAACGUAGCCGUGCAGGUAGGUACAUAAAAGAGUGCAGUUAUUGUAGCAGUCUCCUGAGGAAAUACCAUGUCCCUAUAUAGAAUCAUUAUUAGCUAUGUAGUUAGGCACCUAAAUUAUUAUAUACCUACAUAAUAAUAAUAAACGAUAACAGCGACGCGGAAGUAAUGCGAAUGCUGUUCCCGAAAUCGUAGGUUCCUAAACGAAAAAAAAAUUCCAUAUCUGAGCCUCGCAAGUCACAACAUAUAUUUUGUUGUUAACGAAUUACGUUUCAAUGAAAUUACUGGUACACUUGUUAUGUCCAAAUGAUAAAAUAAGGGUGUACAAGUUAAUAAGUUAUAUUUAAAUGAAAAAAGAAGAUUACACUAGUCAUAUCCUGAAGAAGUCGAUUUUUUAAAAAUAGAUUCAUUCAAAUGUUUGCCUAUAUAAGUACGUAAUUAUUUUUUUAGAUUAAAUUAGCGAAAUGAUGAAUAUAUUAAUUUUUACAAUGACGCGUGUAUUGUAUUUUUACUGUCAUCAUCUUUUAUGACCGUAAAAAUGCUUUGAAUUUUAACAUUGGGGGUGGUUUCCAGUUAGUCUAGGUUAGCAAAUUUAUCCUAGUUCUUUAAAGGUUGAAAGUUAAUUUAAAAGUAACAACAAAAAAUUAAGGAAACCGAGAAUUUUUACUUAAAACCAGUAUUUGGAAAGAUUGAUUUUGUUUUUUAGAUGUAACUUCAAAAUGAAAAACCGUAGAUAUUUGAAACAGCCAUUAAAUGUUUAUGUUAUUAUUUUUUCUAAAUAUUUUAAUUCAUAGACAUUAUAAACAUUUGCAAUUUUUUCUAAAAAUGUUAAUAAAAAAUAUUUUCAGGAUCAAAAAGCUUGAAAUUAAUUAUAAGAUUCAGGACUAACUUAUUUAAAUUAAUUAAAAAUACUGAUGCAUAGGCAUGUUUUUUAUUUUUAUAAGCAUAUGCAUAUGAAAUUCUCUCCUCGAUGAGGACUGACAACGAAGUUCAGAAUGUAGAGAGUAGUUAGAUACAUUGAUACAUGCAAUUCAUCUGCCGGAGGAGCUUGGAAGAUUUCUAUAAGACCCGUUCAUAUUUGUGAUGGAAUUCAAAGAAUAUCUUUAGGUAGGUAGUACAUUAGUGCAAUAAGUUAGGUGACUACCUAUUUAUUUAUAGAGCCUUUCAAUUCAAACAUUUUCAUAAAUGUAUCUUAUAAUAAUAAUGUUUAAAUCACAAAAUAAUAAGCACUUGUUGGUCUUAUAGAUAAUUACUCCAGCUAGGUACUAGUCCGUCUUCCUAAUAAAUUAGUAUAUAUCUAGAUACUUCGAGUGAGAGAGGAAAAUAUCUUUGGAAUAAUAGGAAUAUAUUGUUAUAUACUCACGACGCAAAAGACGAACACUCUGGUGGUCUUGUCCAUCUUGUACGAGUUGGCGCGAUUGAGUCUGUUGGCGAAAGAAAA